rnacentral:rRNA from 1 species
GUCCACGCCGUAAACGAUGGAUACUAGCUGUUCGGAGCAAUCUGAGUGGCUAAGCGAAAGUGAUAAGUAUCCCACCUGGGGAGUACGUUCGCAAGAAUGAAACUCAAAGUAAUUGACGGGGCCCGCACAAGCGGUGGAGCAUGUGGUUUAAUUCGAUGAUACGCGAGGAACCUUACCAAGGCUUAAAUGUAGAUUGACAGGUUUGGAAACAGACUUUUCUUCUGACAAUUUACAAGGUGCUGCAUGGUUGUCGU